rnacentral:rRNA from 1 species
UACGUAGGGUGCGAGCGUUGUCCGGAAUUACUGGGCGUAAAGAGCUCGUAGGUGGUUUGUCGCGUUGUUCGUGAAAACUCACAGCUUAACUGUGGGCGUGCGGGCGAUACGGGCAGACGUGGAGUACUGCAGGGGAGACUGGAAUUCCUGGUGUAGCGGUGAAAUGCGCAGAUAUCAGGAGGAACACCGGUGGCGAAGGCGGGUCUCUGGGCCGAUACUGACG